AUUAUCAUUGAAGUGGGUAUUUAAAAAGCAAAGAAACAUCGUUUUUGUCAUGUUUCAGCUAAAACUUCAACCUUUAAAUUUGACUUCACAACUUUCUUGCAGUUUUGAGAUUUAUUUAUGCUACUAUUACAACAAUCAACUUGUUGGAGUUCAAAGGUGGACAUCACACUGAAACCCAGCUCUUCAGCACGGAUGAUGGGAUCCUGUCCUUUGAUCUCGACUGGUACAGAGACUGGCUCUACUGGGCCAACGAAACGGGUCACGUCAAACGCAAAAAGCUGGCCCAGGUGCAGAUUGAAGUGAUCCCAAUGCCUCUGCCUGGUAGGUUUUUAAUCUCCAAAAGUUUUUUUUUUUUUUUUUUAAUUCUAUUUUAUUUAAAAAAUGCAAAAGUAAUUGUAUUCAACAAUACAUCUUCUAAACACGUAUAUUUAUUUUUAGUUUGUCUGAUAAGUUUGGACCAGCAAAACGAAAAUCUUUAUUGGGUGUCAUGUGACCAAAACACCAUCGGCACCACAACUGGUGUUAAAAACUACCCCAAGCGCCUGUACCACACGACACUGGAAAUAUCCAGCCUGUACCUGGACUGGUUGAGGAGUAAACUGUUCUGGAUGGAGGAAGGGCGACUCUACAGUAUGGACCUAUCAGGAGGCAAAGCCGAACUGCUGCUGAAAAUAGCAGAAGGGGUCAGGGGUGACAUUGCCUUUGACCUCAGAGCCAGCAGUCUGCUCUGGAACUCUGAAAAAGGAGGCCUGGUAACACUGAGUUUGUUAAAGGAGAAAACUCACCAAGCAGGAAGGAGAUGGAACGUGUCUGGCUCUGUAAUGGCGGCUUUUGAGCCCUUCCUGUUGUGCUCGUCUGAUCAUGUGAUUACUCUGUGGAACCGGCGCAAUGGGAGCGUCAUGCAACAUGUUGAGGUUAAAAGUCACGUUAUGAGUGUAAUCCCUGCACUCGGGAAUGUUAAAACAGGUAUAGCAAUUUUCUAACAUGAGUUUUCUUGUUUGAAGUGGAUUAGUAUCAUUUUCUUGAUUUUUAAUUAGCAAUUUUGAAUAACUAUUACAAUGCCUAUUUUUUAAGCAUCUAGUUUGGUUUUCCUGUGUCCACAGUGCCUGAUCCUCCAGUGUGCAAUGAGCCAUCCUUGUUGUGCAGACACUCGGCCCUCUGCCUCCCAAAUUCCCAGGUUUGUGAUGGGAAGAGGGACUGCCCAGAUGGAGACGACGAAGAGUUUUGUGUGGUCACAUGUCCAUCCAAAGGUAAACACAGUGAUGAGGAGUAACUGACCUAUGCGGUUGUGUUUU
rnacentral:lncRNA from 1 species